AGGAUGCGAGCGUUAUCCGGAUUUAUUGGGUUUAAAGGGUGCGUAGGCGGACUGGAAAGUCAGCGGUAAAAUCGAGAGGCUCAACCUCUUUCCGCCGUUGAAACUGUCGGUCUUGAGUGGGCGAGAAGUAUGCGGAAUGCGUGGUGUAGCGGUGAAAUGCAUAGAUAUCACGCAGAACUCCGAUUGCGAAGGCAGCAUACCGGCGCCCGACUGACGCUGAGGCACGAAAGCGUGGGUAUCGAACAGGAUUAG
rnacentral:rRNA from 1 species